UCAGCAUGAAUAGUUCCUUCUCCUUGACCAUACAGCUUGAAGCUUUCCCAGAUUUGUUCCUGGGCUCCUUCUGGAGGAGAGGUGAGCAGAGCCAUGCACUCCACCAGCCCUGCUGCUGUUCGCUAGAGCCACCUUCACAGUGAUACUGCUUCUAGAGAGGUCUGCUGGCAUUGGCUAGCCACCAACUUUUCCACAUCCCUCUACUGCAAAUGAGGUCAAGUCCCUUCAUAUGUGUUGUUGAGAAACUGGAAUCCUUUGAAGACUGUCCUGUCCAAUGCAGUGAAAAACAGAAGUCUGUAGGCCAAGGGAGCUCACAACUUUUCAGUCUAUGCCUUAUGAGGGAGAACAAGUGCUGUUAAAUAAUGACUGUCAUUGUGACUUUGGAUCAUAUCAUGACUUUCCCUGUUCCUUGCCAGG